GGAAUUCGAUUCAGGCCUAACACAUGCAAGUCGAACGGUAUCAGGCCGCAAGGUGCUGAGGGGAGAAGAACGGGUGAGUAAUGCAUCGGAACGUGCCCAGUGGUGGGGGAUAAGGCAGCGAAAGCUGUGCUAAUACCGCAUACGAUCUAUGGAUGAAAGCGGGGGGCCGUAAGGCCUCGCGCGAUUGGAGCGGCCGAUGUCAGAUUAGGUAGUUGGUGGGGUAAAGGCUCACCAAGCCAAUGAUCUGUAGCUGGUCUGAGAGGGCGACCAGCCACACUGGGACUGAGACACGGCCCAGACUCCUACGGGAGGCAGCAGUGGGGAAUUUUGGACAAUGGGCGCAAGCCUGAUCCAGCAAGGCCGCGUGCAGGAAGAAGGCCUUCGGGUUGUAAAUUGAUGGUGUACGGAACGAAAAGGUUUGGGUUAAUACCCUGGGCCGAUGACGGUACC
rnacentral:rRNA from 1 species